GUUGAAGCUUCCGUCAAACAUCCAUCCAUAAGUAUCAUAUAUUACACAUACAUACAUAUACAUAAUUUUAAAGAAGAAAAUUUUCCUGAUACAUACACAUGUACUUAAAAAACAAAUUAUUCCGUAAAAAUGAGUAAAAUAUUGGAAGAAUGCACUUUGAAUGCAAUACCCUUUGAAAUAGUUCCAGAACUUUGCAAAACAACAGAAUCCACGUUAUUAAGUUGGGGCUUGGAGGAUUUGGCGCUUGAUUUUGCAAGAAAAAAAAAUCAAUAUAGAGGUUCUGAAAAAUCUGACGACUGAGGAUAUAAACUUACUUAUACCUGCAGAGAAAUUUGCUCAAAGAAUUAUAUUUAGGACUCGACUUUUUGAAUGGAAAAGCAAAAAUAAAAUCAUAGCAACAGCCGAUACAGUGAGUGGAAUAACUAAAGUUUCAAGUUGGAUUAAUACUAUAUCAGCACCUUCGAGUCCUUCUAUGGCUGAUUCUACUACACUGGUAUACAUUUUAUGGC